AUGGGCGCGUGGCGCCUAGGGAGGCCUCGCGCGCAGAUGAACUUCCACGACGUCUACACGCGCGAGCAGGCACAAGACGUCGCCCCUCCGCCUCGUCUGAUAACAGACCAGGACCGUGAGGACCACCGUCGUAGGCAGCGCCGCCUCCUCAUCGCCGAGGAGGACGAGCGAGCCAUGGCGGAGUGGCGCCGGCGCCAUCCGGAGGACGUCACCGCCAAGAAUGCCUUUUGGGCGGAGAGGACGGCAAGGCGCCGCGUGGAGCAAGCGGACAAGCGUCGGCGCAAGGCACUGGCCAUAUCGCAGUGCGAUCUCGUCAAUGUCGGUGGGAAGUCGUUCUUCGGGCCUGACGAUGAACGUUGGGAUGACAUUUGGCUCGAUACCUCGGACAACACCACCGAGGAUGAUGAGGAGGAGGAGGAGGAGGACGGGGAGUAG
rnacentral:rRNA from 1 species